UACGGGGGGGGCAAGCGUUGUUCGGAAUUACUGGGCGUAAAGGGCUCGUAGGCGGCCAACUAAGUCAUACGUGAAAUCCCUCGGCUUAACCGGGGAACUGCGUCUGAUACUGGAUGGCUUGAGUUCGGGAGAGGGAUGCGGAAUUCCAGGUGUAGCGGUGAAAUGCGUAGAUAUCUGGAGGAACACCGGUGGCGAAGGCGGCAUCCUGGACCGAUACUGACGCUGAGGAGCGAAAGCCAGGGGCGCAAACGGG
rnacentral:rRNA from 1 species